rnacentral:RNase_P_RNA from 1 species
GAGUUGUCGCGGCUGCAAGGCUGAGGAAAGUCCGGGCAACGUAGAGCACCAUACUUCCUAACGGGAAGGCGCGCGUAAGCGUGACAGACAGUGCCACAGAAAGGAUACCGCCCGCUUCGGCGGGUAAGGGUGAAAACGUGAGGUAAGAGCUCACGCCGCCGUCAGUGAUGCCGGCGGGGGUAAACCUUAUGGGUUGAAAGACCAAAUAAACCGGGGCUUGAGGGCUGCUCGUCCGACCCGGAGGGUAGGUUGAUAGAGGCUUGUGGUGACACAGGUCCGAGAUAAAUGACAACAUAAAACAGAACCCGGCUUACGGGUUUUCCU